AUUGAACGCUGGCGGCAGGCCUAACACAUGCAAGUCGAACGGUAACAGGAAGCAGCUUGCUGCUUUGCUGACGAGUGGCGGACGGGUGAGUAAUGUCUGGGAAACUGCCCGAUGGAGGGGGAUAACUACUGGAAACGGUAGCUAAUACCGCAUAACGUCGCAAGACCAAAGAGGGGGACCUUAGGGCCUCUUGCCAUCGGAUGUGCCCAGAUGGGAUUAGCUAGUAGGUGGGGUAACGGCUCACCUAGGCGACGAUCCCUAGCUGGUCUGAGAGGAUGACCAGCCACACUGGAACUGAGACACGGUCCAGACUCCUACGGGAGGCAGCAGUGGGGAAUAUUGCACAAUGGGCGCAAGCCUGAUGCAGCCAUGCCGCGUGUAUGAAGAAGGCCUUCGGGUUGUAAAGUACUUUCAGCGGGGAGGAAGGGAGUAAAGUUAAUACCUGUGCUCAUUGACGUUACCCGCAGAAGAAGCACCGGCUAACUCCGU
rnacentral:rRNA from 1 species